GCCUCACCGGAGAACCUGCCCUCGGCGCAGCGCUCCGCAGCCGGGACCCCACCGCCGCCGCCCUCCCCGCACCGCUCUGUGUGGCCUCGCUUCCCCCCGGGCUCGGGGAGCCGGGAGGUGGCGGAGCGGCGCUGCCCCCAGUCCUCGUCCUCGGGCGGGGUUCCCGAGCACCUCUCACACCGCAAAGCGCGUGUCUAACGCCAGGAUUUUUCUUUUUUCUUUUUGGUCUCUUUUCGAAGCGUUUCCUCCCCCCGUCUCCCCUCCCCCUCGCUCCCAUCGGUAAGUUGGAACUUUCUUCGCCGCUUUAGCAGUUCUCCCGCUCUCUCUCCAGGUUUUAGUUCCUCUAUUAACGCUUUGUCGCUGCUCCGCUCGCACCGACUCCGGAGGAGCCACCACCCGCCCGGAGCGGGUCUGCGUCCGCUCUCGGAACCGCCGGAGAAGCUGCAGGAAGAGCGGGGAAGGGCGCACCGUCGGCUGCGGUUGGAGCAGUCAAAUCGAUGAUCUUCUCAUCAAUAAUCGAGCAGCGCAAUUGAUCACUCUGUUUAUUUAUGCGGAACCUGAGCUAUUUGCUUAUAUAUUUCGACUUCUUUGUCUGCUAAUUAUUAUACCAGAUUGGUUUGAAAGAAAGAGCUUAGGCUGGGAAACACACUUGACAGAUCCAUUCUUAGCUAACCUGAUAGUGGAUUAUUGCAAUCCAAUAAGUUUAACAAAUUACUUAUACGUGCUUGCCUUUCGAGCAAUUAGGAAACCGUUUCAGAUUAAAAUCCCUUGUUGUAUUCGGGGUCGGUUCAUUUAAAUAAAGGGGCAUUCUGUUGAGAUAUUUUCCAAAUAAAAAAUGUUUUUCUGGAUCCGUAGAGACUGGGAAGGAACAAAUCUGCGCUUCUUGCUCCGGGCCCUGCUCUGCCUUUGUAACCGCGAGGCACUCAGUACUGUGGUGCCCCUGAGCUUUCCUUAGAGAUGGAAUUUAAGAUUCCGAGGUGAUACGAGUAUAGGAAUCAGGAAAAAAAAAAAAAAGUUUAAAAAGAAAAAGAAAAAGGAAGGCUCGGCAUUCCAAAGAGCUCUCCAAAGAAGGAGAUAUUUUAGGUUGCUUAGUGAUUAAAUCUGUUCAAAAGCAGUCGCCCCGGUCUCUGCGGACUAUCCGGUUCGCAGAAGGAUGACACUUUGCCCUAUAUUUUAGCUCUUUCCCCUCGAACUGAGCAUUUUCUGUGGCGACCGUUUCGAGGAGGGCUCCGUUUCUUCACCGCUUUCCCUCCUCCGCUUCGGCAGCGUUGGCGCGACCGUCCCGCCGGCGGGAGGUACGGGCGGCGUGAGCCGGGCAGGGGAGGACCGCCUCCCGUAGCCGUCCGGAGUGCAAGUUGGGAAGUGGGAACGGGAUCGGCCCGCGGUGCCGCUCAGAGGAGAGCCCUUGGCUUCUCCCUCGUACUUUCGGCAAGUUUAGUUGUUUCUGAUUCCCCCCCCUCCCCCCUCCAGCAACUGCUGCUUUGCAACCUGCAGAGAUAAGGCGGCCUCGCAUCAGAUGAUCGCAGAGAUAAGUAAUCUCUCCCCUUGGUCCGUGCUAAAGCUGACCGUACGCGCUCGAACCUCAGAGCGCUAAGUCUUUCCUGUGAAUGAACGAGAAAACACUCGACAGGUCGUGAAUAAUCGUUUUAAUGAGUGUGUAAAAGCGUGCGACGGGGUGCACGGAGCUGUCGGGUUAAACAAACAACUUGUACCCUGACGAAAUCCGAUUGUUAAAGUGCAAAGUGGUGUCAGUCCAAUUUCCAUCCCACUUCUAAAUACCACAGAUCUAAGUCGCGGGAGUCCAAUUUUCCCCAUUAAGAAAAAUAACAAUAUUUUCUGAACGUAAGUGCGACCGUCCCUUAUGUCAGCCUUGGGCGGAAAAAAAAAAAAAGAAAAAAAAAGAAAAAAAAAAGGGAGCAGUUGCACAUCCCAAAGAUACCGAAGUUCCUUCUGUUCUCUUCGUAUUAUUUUCAAGAAAUGAAUUUAAAUGUGGGUAUUUGACAUUUUCCUAGAUAUUAUCAGAUCACUGUGGUAAAUAUUUCCUCUCUUUGUUCCCUUGCCCGUAUGUUUUUUCACAGAUCACUGGAGGCAAACAUCGAAUUAAUUGGAUCUUGGUGGCUGAGGCUGGUAACAGUGUAUUGAACGGAGUUAUCUGCCGCAAUGCCCAGGUGUCUGCCAGAAUGUCAGGACAUUCUAGACCAGGUAAAUCCAGAGAACGCCUACCAGAAAAUUAAAAUGAGUGCAACGUUAUACGCGCCAGUUCCAAGUUAUAUUACUGCUAUGUGGGGAGCUAAUACUGACCGGUGCUAACCUACGUGGAAUCUAUACAUUCCAGAGAGAAACUGGAGUUUGCCUUCAGAAGAAGUGCCAUGGAACGGCUAGAUCUGUGCCUUCACAGCGACAGGGCCUGGCACUAUUUUGCAACUUCAUACCUUACUCCUUUAAGUUAAGUGAUUAAUUCUGUGGAAUUAGGUGGUUGUUUAGUGACUCGUAUUACUUACAUUCAUUGUUGCUGAAGACCUCCAAACCAACUGCAUAUUUGUUUCUCUCUUGGAAAACUCAUUUUUGGAUGUGUCCUCUGACAACACCAUGUUAAGUGAAACGGGGCAUGACCACCCCAGCUGAAAAUCUGAACGUUUCAGAAGUUUUUCAAAAAUUUCUCCCUAAUGUGGGUCCACUUAAUAUUCGAAUUAUCAAACAUAGCGUGACAUCAGAUGGCAAGCCAAAACACAUUAAUUCCUGGACUAUAGGCAUAAUCGGGACCCAAUGCAAUGUCCAGUGAUACGGAUGGGAAAUCUACCUUUGGUAGCGGUGGAAGUGGCAUCUGGCCCUUCAUGGCCCAUAGGAUAGGACUAUGCAGGCGGCUUUAAUUUCACGCCGAUCUCCAGUAUUUGUAACAUUUGGAAUUAAAAUGUAGAAUUAAACUGAAUUAGUUUACCAGCGCAGUUUUGUGCCGGGGCUUAGCAGCAAUCUAGUGGGCAUUAGGAACGAAUGUCGUUCAUUUCGUGUUCCUAAGCGCAGCAAAAUGACCUUUGGUACACUCCUCUGAGAGCAGUGUUAGAAAGAAAAGAGGGAGAAGGAAAGACAGAAGGAGAGGGAAAAAAAAAGAUUCCUCACUCUCAGGAUUGGGUAGCGGAUCUAUAACUAAUGAGCCAUGAGGUCAUAUAUCAGUAAUUAACACGCAUCUGACGUCCUGCGCAUUCCCAGCGCGGCUUUGUUCAGGCAGUAUGACUCGAAGCACGGACCGGUGCGGACGGGGCCGGCUCGUGGGGCACGAGGGUCUCCCCCUGCUCUGCGGGCAAAAAGGGAAAGCAGCGGAAGCAGCGGGGAGGGGAGAGGGGAACGGACGACAAAGGCGAGAGGUGCGCUGCCAGUCAGUGGGGCAGGGCUCGUCAGAGGGCUGGGAAACAGCCCCGUCCCGCCGCAGGAAUAGUGCCGUCCUGCAAUAACCUACCGCAACGCCACUUCCUCCGCAACUAAAACACGCGCAAAAUGGGCACGGGGGAUAGCAGAGACCUAUCAGUUUCCUGAUGUAGUUGUGCUAAUAAAUAAACCUUCUCGAUGUUUAAAACACUCUAUCUGUCACAUUCACAAGAUAGGUACUGUAAAUUCCUGUUGCAAAUAUACAAACAGAGAUCCAAGAGGUUGCCUCUGUUUUUGUAUCUCUCUCUCACAAGAAAUGCACUAUCAAAACAUUAAUUAUAUUUGAAAGGGAGCAGAUUAUUUGUUUGAGAAAGAAUUACAUUCUUGAAUUUA